GAGAUCUCAGGCUCACACACAGCAGUGAAGCGCAGCUUUCUCCUGCUUUUGAACUUUUGUCCUCACACCUCUGUGGAGAUGGUGUGCUAUUCUCCAGUGGUAGAGCUGAGGAAAUGUUGCUACAUGUGUGAAUUUGACUCAACAUGAAACAAAUAGACGAAAUCCAGGUAACAUGCUAUUUGCAUUUAAAUCUACACAGU
rnacentral:lncRNA from 1 species